AUUGAACGCUGGCGGAAUGCUUUACACAUGCAAGUCGAACGGCAGCACGGGGGCAACCCUGGUGGCGAGUGGCGAACGGGUGAGUAAUACAUCGGAACGUGCCCGGUCGUGGGGGAUAACGUAGCGAAAGUUACGCUAAUACCGCAUACGAUCUGAGGAUGAAAGCGGGGGACCUUCGGGCCUCGCGCGAUCGGAGCGGCCGAUGUCAGAUUAGGUAGUUGGUGGGGUAAAGGCCUACCAAGCCGACGAUCUGUAGCUGGUCUGAGAGGACGACCAGCCACACUGGGACUGAGACACGGCCCAGACUCCUACGGGAGGCAGCAGGGGGGAAUUUUUGGCAAUGGGCGCAAGCCUGAUCCAGCCAUGCCGCGUGCAGGACGAAGGCCUUCGGGUUGUAAACUGCUUUUGUAUGGAACGAAAAGGCUCUGGCUAAUACCUGGGGCUCAUGACGGUACCGUAAGAAUAAGCACCGGCUAACUACGUG
rnacentral:rRNA from 1 species